rnacentral:rRNA from 1 species
CGGAGGCGACCGCUAUUGGAGUUCGAUUAAGCCAUGCGAGUCUAGAGGCUUAGGCCUCGGCGUACCGCUCAGUAACACGUGGAUAACCUGCCCUGUUCAGGGGGAUAACCUCGCGAAAGUGAGAAUAAUACCCCAUAGUUCACCAUGCCUGGAACGGUUGGUGGAUGAAAGCUCUGGCGGAACAGGAUGGGCCUGCGGCGUAUCAGGUAGUAGGGGGUGUAAUGGACCUCCUAGCCCUCGACGCGUACGGGUUGUGGGAGCAAUCGCCCGGAGAUGGAUUCUGAGACACGAAUCCAGACCCUACGGGGUGCAGCAGGCGCGAAAACUUGACAAUGCGAGAAAUCGUGAUCAGGGAACUCCAAUUGUCCCCGUUUUUACGGGGUUCUGAAUUGACUCUAAACAGGUCGAGUAAUAGGGGCGGGAAAUAUCGGUGCCAGCCGCCGCGGUAAUACCGAAGCCCCAAGUGGUCGUCGUUCUUAUUGGGCCUAAAACGUCCGUAGCCGGUUUGGUACAUUCGUGGGUAAAUCAGACAGCUUAACUGUCUGAAUUCUGCGAGCACGGCCAAACUUGAGACCGGGAGAGGUGUAGGGUACCUGCGGGGUAGGGGUAAAAUCCUGUCAUCCCGUAGGGACCACCAGUUGCGAAGGCUCUACACUAGAACGGAUCUGACGGUCAGGGACGAAGCCUAGGGGCACGAACCGGAUUAGAUACCCGGGUAGUCCUAGGUGUAAACGCUGUGGACUUUGUGUCGGGAAUUCUUCGAGGAUUCUCGGUGCCGGAGUGAAGAUGUUAAGUCCACUGCCUGGGGAGUACGGUCGCAAGGCUGAAACUUAAAGGAAUUGGCGGGGGAGCACUGCAACGAGAGGAGCGUGCGGUUUAAUUGGAUCAACGCCGG